rnacentral:rRNA from 1 species
UGGGGAAUAUUGGACAAUGGGGGGAACCCUGAUCCAGCCAUGCCGCGUGUGUGAAGAAGGCCUUAUGGUUGUAAAGCACUUUAAGCGAGGAGGAGGGUACUGGUAUUAAUACUACCAGGUACUGGACGUUACUCGCAGAAUAAGCACCGGCUAACUCUGUGCCAGCAGCCGCGGUAAUACAGAGGGUGCGAGCGUUAAUCGGAUUUACUGGGCGUAAAGCGUGCGUAGGCGGCUAAUUGAGUCGGAUGUGAAAUCCCCGAGCUUAACUUGGGAAUUGCAUUCGAUACUGGUUAGCUAGAGUGUGGGAGAGGAUGGUAGAAUUCCAGGUGUAGCGGUGAAAUGCGGAGAGAUCUGGAGGAAUACCGAUGGCGAAGGCAGCCAUCUGGCCUAACACUGACGCUGAGGUACGAAAGCAUGGGGAGCAAACAGG